rnacentral:rRNA from 1 species
AUUGAACGCUGGCGGCAUGCCUUACACAUGCAAGUCGAACGGCAGGCACGGGGGCAACCCUGGUGGCGAGUGGCGAACGGGUGAGUAAUGCAUCGGAACGUACCCAGUAGUGGGGGAUAGCCCGGCGAAAGCCGGAUUAAUACCGCAUACGUCCUGAGGGAGAAAGCGGGGAUUGGCAACGACCUCGCGUUACAGGAGCGGCCGAUGUCGGAUUAGCUAGUUAGUGGGGUAAAGGCCCACCAAGGCGACGAUCCGUAGCUGGUCUGAGAGGAUGAUCAGCCACACUGGGACUGAGACACGGCCCAGACUCCUACGGGAGGCAGCAGUCGGGAAUAUUGGGCAAUGGGCGAAAGCCUGACCCAGCAACGCCGCGUGCACGAUGAAGGC